rnacentral:rRNA from 1 species
AUUGAACGCUGGCGGCAGGCCUAACACAUGCAAGUCGAACGAGUGGCGGACGGGUGAGUAAUGUCUGGGAAACUGCCUGAUGGAGGGGGAUAACUACUGGAAACGGUAGCUAAUACCGCAUACCAUCAGAUCUGCCCAGAUGGUAUUAGCUAGUUGGUGGGGUAACGGCUCACCAAGGCGACGAUCCCUAGCUGGUCUGAGAGGAUGACCAGCCACACUGUAACUGAGACACGGUCCACACUCCUACGGGAGGUAGCAGUGGGGAAUAUGGAACAAUGGGCGCAAGCCUGAUGCAGCCAGGCAGCGUGUAUGAAGAAGGCCUUCGGGUUGUAAAGUACUUUCAGCGGGGAGGCGUUACCCGCAGAAGAAGCACCGGCUAACUCCGUGCCAGCAGCCGCGGUAAUUC